CUUUCUUUUUGGUUUAGAGAAGCCCUUUCAAUAUUUCCUUUAACCUGGGUUUUGUGUUGCUGUAUUCUUUAAGUUUUUGUUUGUUGGGAAAAAUUUUUAUUUCCCCUUCUAUUUUAAAUGAUAUUCUUGCUGGAUAGAGUAUUCUAGGUUGCAUAUUUUUUCCUUUUAGCACUUUAAAUAUCUCUUGCCAUUCCCUCCUGGCCUGUAGUGUUUCUGUAGAGAAAUCAGCUGAUAAUCUUAUGGGGGUUCCCUUGUAGGUAACAUUCUGCUUUUCUCUUGCUGCCUUUAGGAUCCUCUCUUUAUCACUAACUUUUGCCAUUUUUAUUAUGAUGUGUCUUGGUGUGGGUCUAUUUGGGUUCAAUUUGUUUGGGGCCCUCUGUGCUUCCUGUAUCUUGAGCUCAGUAUCCUUUAGAUUUGGGAAGUUUCCAGGGAUAAUUUCUUCAAGUAUAUUUUCCAUCCCCUUAUCUUUUUCUACUCCUUCUGGAAUUCCUAUUAUGUGUAGAUUGGCCCGCUUUAUAUUAUCCCAUAGGUCUCUUAUAUUGCUUUCCUGUUUUUUGAUUCGGUUUUCUGUCUGCUGACCUGAUUGGGUGAUUUCCAUUAUUCUAUCUUCCAUAUCACUGAUUCGUUCUUCUGCAUUAUUCAUUCUGGUUUUUACUGCCCCUAGUUCAGUUUGCAUCUCUGCAAAUGAAUGUUCUAGUUUUUCUUGGCUCCUCCUUAUAUUUUCUAGUUCCUUUCUGAGGGUAUCUGCAUUACUGUUCAUAUCUUCUCUUAAUUCCUUCAGUAUUUUCACUAUUUCUCUUUUGAACUCCAGGUCUGUCAGACUGCAGAGAUCUGUUUCAUUGUUGACUGUUUUAGGUGAGUUCUCCUGUUGGUUUGACUGGGGGUGGUUUCUCAGCUUCUUCAUCUUGCUUGUUGUUUUCUUUCUCCUGAGGGAGUUGUACUCUCCGUGAUUGGGCAGUGUUUGCCUUGUCACUGCCGUGGAAUAUUUCCUGAGGGCUGGCGUUGUUGGUCAGUCUUUUUUGAGGCAGUGUGGCUUUUCUGGAGUGUUGAUGGGGCUAACAGGGUCUCUUUGAAGCAAAGGAGGACUUCCUGAGGGCAGACAGGACUGGGAGGUCCACACCACGAUGGUAGCAGAUUUCACUUGGUCAUGCAGAGCUUGCUCUGGUGUUUUUAGGCUGUGGGGUUCUUGCAGGGGGUUGGCGGUGUUGGGCAGCUGUUCGUCAGGGGUGCAGCACCCCCUGGGGGCUGGAGCAGCUAUCUGGGUCACUGAGAACCCAAGAGGCUCUUCCUAGGGCAGCCCAAUUCAGAAGGACGGUCUGAGAAUGUAGGCAGAUCUUUUCACAGUCUGACCAAGCUUGUUGUAGCUUUUCUGGGCUGCAGGGGUUCUGUGCUGUUGCUCUGCGGAUGUGCAGCUCCUCCCGAGACCUGGAGCAGCUACCUGUCCUGCUGCGAACCCAAGAUGCUUUUCCCCAGGGCAGGCCAACUCGAAAAGACGGUCCGAGAAUUAGGCAGAUCUUUUCACGGCCUGGCUAGGCUUGUUCUAGCUUUUCUGGGCCGCAGGCCUUUUCUCCAGGGCUGGUGGUGUUUGGUGCUGCUCUGCGGGGGUGUAGCCCCUCCAAAGGGCAAGCAGGCCUGUGCAGGGACAGCCCCUGUGGUGGUAGACUUCAGGCAGUUGUUGAGGCCAGCCCUCCCAGAUGGCAGGCAGCCCCAGGUCCGGCGAGUGUGUAGAGGGUGGUGGGGGUGGGGGGAGGGGAUGCACUGGGAAGCACAGCUUUCUGCUAGCUAGUGGGCCAGUAAGCUUGCUGUGGCAUGGGGAGUAUUCUAUGGGGACCCACCCCUUCUUCUCUCCCCUCCCCAGCACGGGCGCAGACUAGGCUCUUCUCCCAGGUUCCCUCUGAUGUGGCUUUCCACUUCCCCACCCCUAGAGUAUUGCUCCCUUCCCCUGCGACAGCUAUGCUUUCUAGUCUCCCAGGCAGUCUCUGCCCCGUCAAACUUGACAGACUGGUUUCUAGACCUCCCAAGCAGUCUCUGCUCCGCCCCGCCCCCCCCCCCAGCCCUUUCCCGGGGACUAACCUCCGGAGCCACCGAGGUCUCGGUGCCCAGCCCCCACCCAGGCGUCUCAAUUUUUGGUGACUGUGCCCAUAGUUUAGAUGGUGCAUUCAGUUCUCGAUCUGCUUUUCAGAACUCCAACUUACUGCUACACUCCUCCCUGCAUCUGGAGAUUCCUCCGGUUUGUUUGAUCUUUCCCCUGAGUAGGUGACUUUCCAGGGUGCAGGAUCCCUUUCUCUUCCACGGUUCCCUUUCGGAAGUGCCCAUCCAGCUCAGAUUUACCUUCUCUCACUCUCCUCUUUUCUCUUGUUUUACCUAAUAAUGUCACAAACUUCUUGCCGUUAUUGGAGUUUAGGUUUCUCUGCCAGCAAUUGGUUGCUGUUCUGUGUGAGUCAUUUAUCCUGUAGAUGUGGGGUUUUUUUGUUGUGUUUGUGGGAGAGGGUGAGUGUGUCCCCCUACUCUUCCACCAUCUUGUC
rnacentral:lncRNA from 1 species